rnacentral:rRNA from 1 species
UACGUAGGGGGGCAAGCGUUGUCCGGAUUUAUUGGGCGUAAAGAGCGUGUAGGCGGCCAGACAGGUCCGUUGUGAAAACUGGAGGCUUAACCUUCAGACGUCGAUGGAAACCGUCUGGCUAGAGUCCGGAAGAGGAGAGUGGAAUUCCUGGUGUAGCGGUGAAAUGCGCAGAUAUCAGGAAGAACACCCGUGGCUAAGGCGGCUCUCUAGUACGGUACUGACGCUGAGACGCGAAAGCGUGGGGAGCGAACAGG